rnacentral:lncRNA from 1 species
GAAACAGCGUAUGGAGGAAGGGUUAUGUUUGUACUGUGGAGAAGAAGGUCACAAGGUUGGAAAUUGCCCAAAGAAGCAAAAUUGGCACCCUGUCAAGACUAGAAGUGCGAUGAUUCCGGAAAACGACGACGCCCAGCCACAGUAGGAACCGUGCGGCUGGACAAUCUAAUAUCACGACAACAAUCAGGUUCCUCCUUCUCUGUCCAACCUGCCCGUUGUUUUA